UACGAAGGGGGCUAGCGUUGCUCGGAAUCACUGGGCGUAAAGCGCACGUAGGCGGAUUGCUAAGUCAGGGGUGAAAUCCUGGAGCUCAACUCCAGAACUGCCUUUGAUACUGGCGAUCUCGAGUUCGGGAGAGGUGAGUGGAACUGCGAGUGUAGAGGUGAAAUUCGUAGAUAUUCGCAAGAACACCAGUGGCGAAGGCGGCUCACUGGCCCGAUACUGACGCUG
rnacentral:rRNA from 1 species